UGUUAUUGAUAUUACCACUCAUAAUACUAAAAACUUUUGAGCCAUUGAAGCAAUUUGCAGCUCUACUAGCUGAGAAUUAAUGUGUCUGUCUUCCCAUAGACCCUCUUAAGUGUGAGCGUAUGAUAGUAAUGCAGUUUUAAUUUGCAUAUUCUCUGAUUAUUUGUGGUUUUGAACAUUUUAGGAUCAUUGUAAGAUAGUUAUUAGUUCUGAUUUAUUCUUUUGAAAAUUGCUUCUGCCCUUUGAUCACAUCUCUAGUAUUUAUAUAUAUGAUACUCUGUGUGUGUGUGUGUGUGUGUACAUAUAUAUAUGUAUAUACUUUUGUGUGGACAUAAAAUAUUAAGUAAUAUAUUAUUUAGAUGUCACGUCCCUAUAGAUUUUGGAUAUCAGAUAUCAGAGCUAUGUGAUACAAAUGAGCAUGUAUACUGGAAAGUAUAUUAUAUUUGAAGUCUACAGACCUGUGUUUGAAUCUUAUCAUUUGCCAUUUAAGGCUUAGUCUUUCUGGUUCUUAGUUUCCUCAUUUGUAAAAUGAGGAGAUUGAGAAUUAUAUCUUCUGUGGUCUCUUUCAACUUUAAAUUUAUGAUCUUUUAAAUCCCCCCUCAUACACAUCUUUCAUUCAGAUUUUAGCUUCAUUGAUUUUAUUUGUUCAAAGGUUUUUAAAUUUCAGAUCAUUAAAAUUUUUUCAUCUUUUGUAGUUAUUUCUUUAUUGUUUCUUAUUAUUUCCUCCACUCCUGUAUUUUUGAAUGAUAUUGUUUUAUGUAAGCUUCCAUUUUUUUUAAUGGUGUGAUCGGAAAAUAUUUGAAAACCCAGUGCUUGCUUUUUCUAUUAUUUCUGGUACUUAUGUCAACUUAUUUCUCUUUUCCUUUCCUUUCUACUAUGACCUUUAUGAAUUGUAGGGGAAGAGAUUAUGGAGAGGGAAAGACAACUGCCCUUGAAAUGAAGUUAUUACUUCUUUGAGGUCAAUUCUUCUUUUAAAAAUAUUCCACUUAAGUCAUUCAAACAUGGAAAAAACUCUUUAACAUUUGACUUAACUCUAUUAUUUUUCAAAAAAAUGCUUAGAGUUAUAAAUGGAAUGAAGUUCAGUAUAAUUAUCUAUCAUAAUAUAAUUAAAGGAAACACUAUAUUAAAAAUUUAUUGUUUAGUCAUUUCAGUUAAGUCUGAUUCUUUAUGACCCUAUUUGGGAUUUUCUUGUCAAAGAUGUUGGAAUGUUUUGCCAUUUCCUUCUCCAUCUAAUUUUAUAGAUGAGGAAACUGAGGCAAAUGAGCUUAAGUGACUUUGACUCCAGACCUAAUGCUUUGUCUACUGUGCCACUUAGUUGACCUAUGUAAAAAAUAGAAUGCAACAUAAUAUAAAAAAAAAGGUAUAUAUCUCUCUUUAAUCUCUGCUUUUGGGAGGCUAAUUCUGGUAAAUUAUUUUAACUCGGGAGUUCUGAGCUACAGUUAGGCUAUUUGAAUUAAAACUAAUACCAAUAUGGGACACCCCUAGAAAAAAGAGACCAAAAAACUGUCUAAAGACAUUCUGGAGAUAGAGCAAAUCAAAGCUUCUUAGGUGAUUACUAGUGGGAUAGGGUUUAUGAGUGGUUGUUUUACUUCCAGUCAGAUAAAAUAGAUCUAGUCUAAAAAAAAAAAAAAAAACGACAAAACAAAAUAUACCUAUAAGUAUUGUGAUAUGAUUAAUUUAGGUAUAAACACAUAUGUUUUCCAAUAAAUUCUGGAUGUAUUUGUUCCCUAUUAGUAUGAUGUGGUUUAUUUUUUGAAAAACACUAGCUUACUUUUAUGUGAUGGAAUUCAAAGUGUGUUUGAGAUUAGGUAUUGUAUUUUAAGGAUUAAAGUGUUGUUUUGUAACCUAAAAUAUUACUUCUUUUAAAGUUGCAUUAAUAUUUGCUGGGACUAUUUCCAAGGACAUUGUGAUGUUGGACUAGUAGUACUUAACUAGUAGUUAUUUUCAUCAUAAGCUUUUCAGUUUUGUAUUUUUCCAGGGUGGUGAAGGAGUAACAGUCUCUUGCCACUGGUGGAAACUAACUAGUGUUUCACAUCAUGGAAAAUUUUUUAGUGAGGCUAAUCCAGCUCUGGAGAGCAUUAAAUAAAAACAAACAACCAGUUCUGUCUCAUCAGGAAAUAUCUCCAAAGUUUUACCAAUAUAUAAAAAACAUUUAUACUAAACAAUAUAAUGUGAUAUAGUGAAAAUAACAUGGGACUUGGAGCUCAGAGGCCUCUGUAUAAAUAGCAGCUCUAACACUUACAAAUCCUAUGUCUUUUCAUCAAUCUGGAUCUCAGUAGUCACAGUAAUAUGGGAAUAAUUGUACUUAUAACUUUCAGUCAUUUUUCACUUGUGUCCAAUUCCUCAUGAUCCCAUUUGGGUUUUUUGGGGCAAAAAUACUGAAGUAGUUUGCUUUCUUCAGAUAAUUUUACAGAUGAGAAAACUGAGGCAAAUAGAGUUAAGUAACUUGCCCAGGAUCACAGGACUAGAAAGUACCUGGAUUUGAACUCCUGAACAUGAUUCUCCCUUGCUUCAGACCCAGCACUCUACCACACCACCACCUAGCUGCCCAGAUAGUAUAUACUGCCCACUUAAUGGAGUUGUUUUGAUGAAAACAUCUUGUAAACCUAUAAAAUGCUACAAAAAUAGCUUGUUAUUAAUAUAAUAUUAAUAUAAAAUCCCUCUCUCUCUCUCUCUCUGUAUAUAUAUGUGUGUGUGUGUGUGUGUGUGUGUGUAUUAAAAUAAUCAAAACAAGCAGCCUAAUUUCAUUUAUUCAAUCAACAGUCAAUUAAGUGACAUAAAUGAAACAGUUCUUGCUAUGUGGGGUUUAUAAUCUAGACAAGGGAGAAAUCUACAAAUAGAAUAAGAUGCAAACAUAGAUGUAAGAUUAUGGGAGGGAGAAAGCAACUAGAGAGAUUAGGAAAGGCAUGGUGUAGAAGGUGACUUUGAAUUAAGUCUUGAAGAAAGCUUCAUUUUUAGAAAAAGAGGGAAAAAGGAAAUACAUUCCAAAUAUGGUAGAUAGCCAGCAAAAAUGCAUGGAGAUAAGAUUUAUAGUUUUACGGGUGAAUAACAUUAAAAAGAUGAAUUUGGCUGAUCUGAUAUGAAAGUAAUGUAAAAUAAAGGCUAAAAAAGGAGAUUGGGGAAGGUUGUGAAGGACCUUAAAAGGCAAAAAAAAGAGUUUAUAUAGGAAAUCCUGGCCUUUUUUUUUUUUUCUGAAGCAAUUGGGGGUAAGUGACUUGCCCAGGGUCACACAGCUAGGAAGUGUGUCUGAAACCAAAUUUGAACUCAGGUCAUUCUGACUUCAGGGCUGGUGUUUCCCUGAACUCCUGAUUUUUAAAUAAAAAAGUAAUACCAUUAAAGGGGCAUCUAGAUGGCAUAAUGAAUAGAGCAUCAAUCCUGGAACCAGAAAGACUCACAUUCAAAUCUGGCCCCAGAUUCUUACUAGCUCCGUGACCCUGGGAAAAUCCCUUCACCCUAUUUGCCUGUGUUUCCUCAUCUAUAAAUGAACUAGACAAGGAAAUGGGAAACUACUUCAAUACUUUGCCAGGAAAACCCCAAAUGGAGUCACAGUUGGAAAUGACUAAAACAACUUAACAAUAACAUUGUCAUUGUUCCAUUUCAUUUUUCCUUCAAAUAACUUAAAAUGGAUUUCUUUGCAAGGAAAACAGGCAAACAAACAAAAAAUCAAUUUUCUAUUUGAGUAGUUCUAUCACCUGCAUUUCUUUUUAUGUAUGUAGCAAUAUUUUGUAGGGAGAAAAGUGAUGUUAACAUGGGUAAGAAUGAGAAAAACCUUAAGUGGUAAUAGCUGCUGUUUCCACCUGGUACUUAGGUUGAAGAUAACAGGGAACAAAAAUAUCAUCUGUUUCUUUUUGCUUGUCCCCAAGAGCUUUGGGGUGAACUCUUAAGAAUCAUUUGUCAUUGUUGUAGAAUAAAAGCUCUCUGAUUCAUGUGAGAAUGAGAUCAGAAAUAUGCUGUGUCAUAUGCUGUCAACUUUAUGAGCUACUAAGUCAACUUGGUUUCUGAGCUGUGUGAACAUAGUCCUCUGCCUCAAUGAAUGUCUACAUUAUGGCACAGUGGAACAUCAUUAAAUGUUUCUGAUGAAAUAUUUUAUUUUCUCUUCUUUUUUUACUUUUCUCUGUCAUUUUUAAAAUUUUCUGACAUCUUCUGAUGUUUGGCCACGCUCCUCAGACUUUCUUCCCUUGUAAAAUGAGGAUGGUGGACACUGUGAACUCUAAGGCUCCUUCUGAGUAGCAAGCUAGCCUAGUGGAUAAAACAUCUGGCUGGAGUUAGAAAGACCUGAGUUCAAAUGUGGCAUCAGGCCCUUACUAGCUGUGUGAUUUGGCAAGUCACUUAAGUCAUCUGUUGGAUGAACAGAAGGGGUUGGAGAAGGAAAUGGCAAAUCAUUCCAGUGUCUUUGCCAAGAAAAUCCCAAGUGAAGUCACAAAAAAAUGACUAGAAAAUGACUGGACAAUAAUGAAAGACCCCUUCCAGCUUGGAGUCUGGGAUGCUAUAACUCCUAGUCUUCUACCUCUGCUUCUAACCUCAACCAACCUAUUAUGGUAGUAGGAAAUUGUUUUCCAACUUCAUGAAUAAAAUAAUAAUUGUCUUACAUUAGAUGUGCUAUUAUUAUUGUUAUUAUUUAUUAGAGCACUAGGAUGACUGGCUGCAUGGAUUGCUAUUACAUAAUAUCUGAAGAUAAGACUUACUUUUUAGAACAGCUUUCCAAAGGUAAUUCUCCCAGUCACUCUACAGUCACUCCCCAAGUUAUGGUUAUACUGUUUAUGGAUAUCUGUGGAUACCAACAAAGUUUCAUAAGCUGAGAUACACACACACAUACACACACACACACACACACAGAUACACACAGAUAGACAGACAUUGACACACAUAUGCAGAGACAGAGACAGACUAUGAAAGAGACAGAGAUGAAAACUGAGAGACAGUGACAUAGAUAAUGACAGAGAGAGGCAGAGAGAAGAGGGAGAGGGAGAAAGAGACAAAGAAAAAGAGAGAAAGAGAGAGGGAGAAAGAAAAAGAGAGAGUGACAAAGAGACAGAGACAGAGAGGAGAGAAAGAGACAAAGAAGAGAGAGAAAGAGAGAGGGAGAAAGAAAAAGAGAGAGUGACAAAGAGACAGAGACAGAGAGGAGAGAAAGAGACAAAGAAGAGAAAGAGAGGUGAGAGAAGAGAGCAAGAAAGAGAGUGACAGAAAGACAGAGAGAGAAUGA